rnacentral:lncRNA from 1 species
AUGGGGAGGAGGGAAUGUCCAGACAGGAGGGAAUCCCCUGGACAGGGAGGAGCCCUUUGUCACCACCAUGGGACCCCGAGGUGGCCCUGCAGAGCAGAGAUGCCCUGGUGCAGGCCCAGCCCAGCUGCCAGCCCUGGAAGAGCUGCAGUGCUUAUCAGCAGUGCUUAUCAGCAAUCCCCAAGGCAGCAGGAAAUCCACCCGCGGGGGGUGGGGGGCUGCCAGGCUGCCGGGAUCAUAAAUAUUCAAGAGCAGCCAGCUCUGGCAGCAGCAAUUCCCUGCCAUUCCCUGCCAGGCUGGUGCAGGAAGGGCUGCAGACCCCAGCCCAAAGCCCCACACAGAUCCUGGAGAUGCCCAAGGGAAAGCAGCAGCCAAAGGGCAGGAUCUGCCUCAGGCAUCCACACAUCCUGGGCAGAGCCAGCUCAGGGACACUCACCCCGUGUCGCCAAGGCCAUGGAGGAAAAUGACCUGUUAAACAGAGAAGGGAGGGAAUUAGCUGGUGUGAGAGUCACAGAGGGCUGGGCUGGGCUGCAGGGAGGUGGCAAAUGGACACUUAGUCACCAACUGGAAGAGGCUGAAAUGAGCGUGGAGCAGCGGAUGGGUGGGUCAGGGAUGUGGUGUCAUCCUGCCACAGGCAGGUCCCAACUCUUCUGCACAGCACAGGGACAGGGAGUGACAGAUCAUCCCACCAGGGUGGCACCAGAGCCUGAACCCCAGAAUGGGCUGGAAGGGAUCUUAAAGCCCCUCCAGUGCCACCCCUGCCAUGGCAGGGACACCUCCACUGUCCCAGGGUACUCCCAGCCCCAUCCAGCCUGGCCUGGGACACUGCCAGGGGCAGCCACAGCUGCUCAGGGCACCUUCACAGGGAGGAAUUCCUUCCCUGUAUCACCAAGGCCUCACAAAUCCACCUCCAGAGGCUUUUCAUCUCAGGCUCCAGCAACCCCUAAACCUCGGGGAGCAGAGGGGAGGCAGCCUGCAACCCCAGGGAAGGACAGAGUGGGGGGGGGGUUCCUUUGGGAAAUUUGCUUUUAA